rnacentral:rRNA from 1 species
GAGGCAGCAGUGGGGAAUAUUGCACAAUGGGGGAAACCCUGAUGCAGCCAUGCCGCGUGUGUGAAGAAGGCCUUCGGGUUGUAAAGCACUUUCAGUUGUGAGGAAAAGUUAGUAGUUAAUACCUGCUAGCCGUGACGUUAACAACAGAAGAAGCACCGGCUAACUCCGUGCCAGCAGCCGCGGUAAUACUCUACGGGAGCCAGCAGCCGCGGUAAUAGGCCCUACGGCAGCCAGCAGCCGCGGUAAUAGGCCUACGGGAGCCAGCAAAU